ACGGGGCGAGAGUCCUGCUGGAGCAGCCGGACUUAAAAAACAUCAAACGUAUUUUUUGAAAGCACACGGGCACCGUGCACGUCUCACACUUUGUCCUUUUUUUAUUUCCGUCUUUCAGUUAAUCUCCUCGACUCCCCCAUUUCUCUUCUCCUCGCUCCUCGCUUCCUUUCUGCCUCCCCUUCUUCCACUAAUCUCUGUCCAUCGUUCUUCCUCGCUUCCCCGCCUUGCAUCCAUCUGUCUUACCCGCUUUCAUCUAUCUGUCCGUCCCCCCCCCCACCGAAUGUCUGUUCUGUUGCUUUACAACCUCGCAGCAAAGCGUUCAGCCUUCCUCCUGCUGUCUCCGUGGCCUGUCCUCAUGACUACUCAUUGCCCCCUCAUCUUUUUCUCUCCACUCUCUUCCUCCCCCAGCUCCCAUCCUCCUCGCGUCUCUUUUCACCUUCUAUUCUCUCAUCCUCCAUUUGCGUUUGUCUUCGUCCAUCCUCGCGUCUCUCUGUCUGACUGACUCCUGACAUGUCCGAGCGUCUCCCUCCCAGUGUGUCUCCGUCCCUUCCCGUCCCCACUCCUCUCGUCAUCCACCUGUGGCAGCAUCAUCAGCUCAGUGUUGCUGGUAUCCAUGGCGACGUCGACGGGCCUCUUGUCGAAACUUGCUGUGGCAGUGGCCGUCCGCGGCCUCCCGGUGCAGCGGCGUCAUCUUCAGCGCGUCUUUGGCGUUAACGUUGGCGCCGCUCUGCGUGGACAGGCGGCACCCCCCGGUGGCGAGACAGGGAACCAGCCGCGAAGGAGCCGGGUGACACAAGGGGGAAGAGUGGUUCACACUCGUGUCGUCAUGGAUUAGCCCAAUGAUUAUUCCAUAAUUAACGCGCCAGUCCGUAGUGAACGGAGCCCCGUUGGCCAUCAGGGCUUUGACAUCGUCAUCCCGUCCCCAUCGCACCGCCUCCAGCAGCUGGUAACCCGAGAUACACCAGAGACAUCUGCCGACAGGAAGGAGGAACGCAGCGCUGAGAGUCACACGGGGAACAUGAGCACAGGCUCAACUGGGGAUGUUUACUGAAACUGAUUGGCUGGCAAAAAGAAAACCCACCAGCCGCCACUGAUACACAUAAAUAUACGUAAGUACAGUAUAUGUAUGAAGAAGGCCGUCGAGGCACCGGAGGGGGGUGUGGUAACUGACAGUCG
ensembl:lncRNA